rnacentral:tRNA from 1 species
UCCCAGUUAGUACAACGGUCAGUAUACGGCACUUUCAUCGCACCGCAAGGUGGACUCGGGAGCUGCUGAGAUCGGGGUUCGAUUCCCCGGCCGGGAA